UACGGGGGGGGGCAAGCGUUGUUCGGAAUUACUGGGCGUAAAGGGCUCGUAGGCGGCCAACUAAGUCAGACGUGAAAUCCCUCGGCUUAACCGGGGAACUGCGUCUGAUACUGGAUGGCUAGAGGUUGGGAGAGGGAUGCGGAAUUCCAGGUGUAGCGGUGAAAUGCGCAGAUAUCAGGAGGAACACCGAUGGCGAAGGCAGGUCUCUGGGCAUUAACUGACGCUGAGGAGCGAAAGCAUGGGGAGCGAACAGG
rnacentral:rRNA from 1 species